CCUGAGUCAUCUCUGCACGUGUUCGCUCCCUUUUGGUCUUGACCGCUAGUAGCUGCGUUCCUGGAAGCAGUCUGGGGUACCUAGUGCGCCUCGGGUGGUGGUGGAAGGGAAGGGUUAAGGCUGAACCUUCGGAGCAGGAGCGUCCACUUUUGAAGUGACUUCACAGCGCGCAGUUGGGCGCCCGCGAGGUGCGCGGGCCCAGGCCUGGCGGCGCGGUGGGUCUUCCCACGCUUGCCGGCUCCCGCCGCUGGCCCCGCACGUGGGCGCAGCGCCCUUCCCAGGCUGCGCAGGUGGGCGCGGUUGGGGAGCCCGCCCCCCCCUCCUCCCCGCCCCUGCCCCGGGAUGUGCGCCCUCCGUUUGGUGCUGGGACUGUUGCUCCUGGGGGCGCUCGGAGCCUUCCCGCAGGGUCAAGCCCCCAUGGAUCCCUGUCCUGGGGACCCCAGCCGCUACUAUGACAAGGCUGCCGGGGUGUGCUGCCGCCGCUGUGCCCUGGAGCCUUCCCUGUGCCCUCAGGGGCCCACUGACUGCAGGAAGCAGUGUGAUCGUGGCUACUACGUGGACACCAACGGCCGCUGCACAGCCUGUGUGACCUGUUCUGAAGACUACCUCGUGGAGAAGAAGCCGUGCUCGUGGAACUCCUCUGGCGUGUGCGAAUGCCGGGCUGGCAUGUUUUGCGGGACGUCAGCCGUCAACUCCUGUGCCCGCUGCUUGCCCCACUCCGUCUGCCCCCCCGGGAAGGUUGUCAAGUUCCAGGGCACAGCACAGAGGGACACUGUCUGUGAGCUGCCUCCCCCAGGGGCCAGCCCCGACUGCAGCACCAACCCACAGGACUGCAAGGCCCCCGCCAGGAGAAUUGCCAGUCCCAUCCCUGGCUUCCUUCCCAGCGGCACCACCCCCCAGGCCAAGCCGGCCCUUGCAUCCCCAGCGAGCUCCGAGGCCAGGACCACGCUUCUCAGAGGCACCACCCCCUUCGCUGGGGAAGAUGCUCCUAAAUCACCUCCCAGCUCUUCCUCCUCCGUGGGGAAGCUCAAUCCAGAUCCACGGCUGACUCUACGGCAGCCCUGCCCUCAGGGGUCUGCUGACUGCCAGAAGCAGUGUGGCCGCAACUUCUACCUGGACAGGGACGGACGCUGCAAGGCCUGUGUGAGGUGUUUAAGAGGUGACCUCGUGGAGAAAACACCAUGCACGUGGAACUCCUCCAGCGUCUGCGAGUGUCGGCCUGGCCUGUUCUGUGCCACGUCAGCCAUCAACUCCUGUGCCCACUGCGUCCCCCGCCCCAUCUGCCCGCCAAGGAUGGCCACCAAACUCCAGGGUACCGCCGAGAGGGACACCACCGACGAGCCACCUCCCCCGGGGACCCACCCUGACUGCAGCACCAACCCAGAGGACAUCGGGGCGCCUGCCAGCCCUACCCCCUCCCUGAUCUCCUUAGCUGGCAAGAAGAGUGGAGGGGGCAUCACCCACGCCUGGGGGGACGCCUCCAUCUCAACCAGUGCUCCCAUCUCUUUCUCCUCCACUGGGAAGCCCACUCUGGUUCCAGGACCUGUGCUCCUCUGGGUGGUCUUGAUGCUGGUGGUGGCCGUCAGCUCUGGCUCCUUCCUCCUGUGCCACCGGAGGGCCUGCGGGAAGUGGAUUCGGCAGAAGAUCCACCUCUGCUACCCAGCCCAGACCUUCCGGCCCAAGCUGGAGCCUGUGGAUUCCAGGCCUGGGAAGACUCUGACCCAGGUGACCAGGAGCAUAUCCGUGGCAGAGCCGGGCACAGAGGAGCUGGGCUUAAUGAGCCCCCCGGCUGUGAAGACCUGGCCCAGCAAUGGGGGAGCCUGCCUGGAGAGCCUGCGGCUGCUGGAGGCCAGCCCGGCCAGCACCCCCCCGACCCCCACUGACCUUCCUGAGCUCCGAGGGACCACGGAGCACACCAACAACAGGAUUGAGCACAUUUACAUCAUGAAGGCCGACACCGUGAUUGUGGGGUCCGUGAAGGCCGAGGUGCCUGAGGGCCAGGGCCUGGCGGGGCCGGCGGGGCCCGAGUUCGAGGAGGCUCUGGAGGUGGACCACGCCCCCCACUACCCGGAGCAGGAGACGGAGCCGCCUCUGGGCAGCUGCAGGGACGUCAUGUUCUCGGUGGAGGAAGAAGGCAAGGAGGAUUCCUUGCCCACGACCGACUCUGGGAAAUGAGGCCUGGCCCAGGCUGGGGCGCAGAGGGCCGCUGGGAGCCUUGGGGAGGCAAGGGUGGCGCUGGUGGCACCAGGCUGGUGGCAGAGGUCUGUCUGGCCUGAACUGAGGUUCCUGCAUCUGGUGGAUCCAGCCUGUCAGUGCAGGAGGUUCUCGUGGUCCGUACUUGCCUCCUUGGGGAGCCUGGGCCUGUGCAGCAGAGACAGCUAAGGGGCAACAGAUGGCGGGCAGGGCCUGGGCACCCUGCCUCCUGCCACUGCCAAGAUGCUCCAGAGCCCUGGGUGUCAGACACACACAGUAGAGCAGAGGCAGCGGCCAUGAAGCUCCUACCUCCAUGCCCUCUCCUGUCACCCCGGCCUCGGGAGCAAUGCCCACCGAGCCUCGCUGCCAUGCCAGCUGCCCCCAGUUCUUGUGACGUGGCCCCUGCGGGCACUGAGCCAGCCCCUGUGGUUGUUCUCCUGAGUCAAAAAGAAAGUCAAGAGAUGGUUGUCGUCCUUUCCCCCUUCUUGGCUGCAGCCACAACACAGUACUCUGAGCCCACGGGAGCCCCCCAGCCUGGCCAGCCCUGCCUGGGCUGCUGGGACCACCCCCCCCACACACACUCCACGGUGGGCCCAGGGCCUUGGAUCCCUGACCCUGCAGCAGGAGGAGGUGUCUCAGGACCCAGGUAUCAGCAGACUCUCAGCAUCAGAGCUCCUCCCGCCGGAGACCCCGCCCACCCAGUGCUACCCAGAAAGGCCUGCCUGGCUUCAACUGAGGCUUCCUCCCUGCACGGACCAGGGGAACCGUGGGCCCUUCUUGGGUCCUUGACUGCUUCGUAGGCACCAUGGGCUCCAUCCUGGGCAACGAAGAAGAUGCCUCUUCCCCAGAUCGGCCACGUGCACAGGCCCCAGUGGCUCCAGCCGCUAAGCACCCCCAAUUGGGAUGUGGGUUUCAAAAAAAAUGGUGUCAUGUCACCCAGACAUUCUGUUGGAAAAGAAAGAGCAUUUAGUAGUUCAAUCUGGACUUGAGGAUUUUUGCAUUCCACACCAAGGAGUCAAGCCCCCUGACGUGGAUCUGCUUCCUCAUCUCCCCAGGGCUUCCAGACUCAGGUCCGCUAACAAGUGGUCUUGGAAAGUCUGUGGCCCCGGGGCACUGAGUCGCUGCUGGAAUUACCCGCUGGAAGCCAAGCCCGAGAAAGCUGCUGUUUACCCACCAGCCUGCUCACUCGCUGGAGGAAGUUGAGGCUGGGUCAGGAAUCACAAGGGUAGUUUCUGAAACCACUCAGAUGUUUUGGGGAAAGUUGGAGAGAGGCUGGACGCCAAGAGAGAUGGUUUACACAGAACCUGAAGUUUAUGUGCCACGGAUAAUAUUUGCCAAAAUGCCCUGGGCGAGGGCAGUUCAGAGGCUCUGCUCCUUCCUGCCACCCCCGAGCCCCUGUGAAGGGCUCUGCAGCCGUAACUUGAGGAUGUUGGCAUGUGGUUAAUGGAUUGAAGGGUUCCCUCACCCAAGGGCCCUUCACAAAACUUUGAUCCUUUAAAAAUUCAUAAAGUCCCUUAAAAACCAAUCAUAAGAGAGUUCCCACUGCGGCUCUGCAGGUUAAGGAUGCGAUGUUGUCUCCGUGAAGAUGUGAUUUUGAUUCCUGGCCUCCCUCAGUGGGUUCUGGAUCUGGCAUUGCUGUGGCUAUGGUGUAGGCCAGCAGCUGCAGCUCCAGUUGGACCCCUAGCCCCCAAAUAGUUUCCACAUGCCUCAGAUGCGGUUGUAAAAGAAAAAAAAGAAGAAGAAGAAAAAAACAAAAAACCAAUUGUAAGGCUCCAGGAUAUUCUCCUGCCAGAGACUGGGAGUAUUUGGAGUGUCAGUAGGUAUCUGAAAAGUCGUUCUCCCUCCAGGACGGAGUCCCCCCUUUACCUCUCUGCUCCAGAUACCUGGGCCACCAGCCUCUGGGUCAGGGAGCCCCCCACAUGCUGGGACAGCCUUUCCUCCUAGAGGCCCCUCCCUGGGGAUGGAGGCAGAGCCUUCCUCUCUGUGACUCCCACUCCCUGUUGGGUCCUUGGCAGAGGUGUAGAGCAACAGGCUUUUGCCCUAAGGCUCCCUUUGCGGAUGGCCAGGCGGGAUCCCUGGUCCCCUCCAGGCCUUCUUCCCGCUGAGCUGGGCCCAGUAGUCCCACAGCUUGGGGAAAGGGAGUCCCAAAGUAGCGGUGUGAAUGCCCCAGCCUUGGCGGGGGGAGAGCCCAGAGAGGACCAGGGAUAAAUGUGACCCUUGGGCUUUGAGCCAGAGCUGGCAGGGGCCCAGCUGCCUCCCUGAUCACAGCUCAGGGGCGUUGUGGGGCCUGUUCCCCUCCACAGGCAGCCCCCUCUGACUGUGGCUCCCCCUGGGGAAUGGAGGAAGGCGGCCUCCCUCCGCCUCUCCCUCAGGACUCCGGCGGGGCCUGGAUCUCACAGUUCAGCCCGGCUGGUCACGUGGUCCAUCCAAGUGCCAGGGUGAAGCUCCCUCCCCUGCCCAGUCAUGAGGGGCCCCUCCUUAGCCCCUGGCUGUUUUGAUGUCCAGAUGGGCAGACGGACGUGGCCCCUGCUGCCCCGGAGUAGCAGUUCCCAGGCUGCAAGGAACCCGCCCACACGUGCACACACGUCUCCCUCAACAGUAAGUGACAGUAAGUGAUUAGUGUCUUGCGGAAGCUGUUGCGCUCAAAGAGAGUCCGCUGUUUCCCAAGGCAGCCUUGUAUGUCAUAAGCUAUGCUGGCUUCUUAGAAUCUCUCAGGCCAGGGCUGGUCCUUAGGACAAGAGCCUGACUGUGCAUAGCAUCCUUUGCUGUGUCCUGCUUACCCUGGCCAUGAGAACCUGCGAUGGUGCCUCCAGCAUCUCUGUCCCACCAUCACCGGGACCUGCUUUGUGGGGCUGAACAGAAGAGAGAAUCUGUGCGGAGAGGAGAGGCAGCUCUCUGGCCGCCCUUUCUUGGGUGCCUUCUCUUCUCCAGCGCCUCCUUGAUCCUCCUGCCCUCUCACGUGGAACUGUGGAAUCGUGGGGCAAGUGCAGGGUGGGAGGUGCUGGGGCCAGGAUGGGUGAGAAGAGGGAUUCACAGGCGGGGCCCGAGAAAAACGCUUUACUGUGUCAGUACCCCUGACUGGAAGCCAAGGGGAGAAUAUCAAAAGCUUCAAGGACAGCUCCUUGGGCCUGGGGAGAAGCCGGCCCAGCACCCCCUCAAGCUCCUGCACCCUCCCCGGGACCACAUAAUUGGGUCAGUGAACAAACUCAUUCCUGGGUCGGCUCGUGCCCUGUGCUACCAGAAGGCUCAAUCCGGGGUCCGUGAUAGAGUCCAGAGGGCAGGGCCACGUCUAGCCAGGUAGUCAGGGAGGGCUUCUCGGAGGAGGUGGCCUUCGAAAGCUCCACCUGAGCCACAUGACAAGUGGGCCUGCAAGCCUCCUGAGAAGGCAGGGGGGCGGUAAUGCAAAGGCCCUAAGGUGGGGACCCUCCUGCCCAGAGGUUCGGGAAGCUCACCUCCAGGUGGGGGCACAGCGAUCAAUCGGGGUGGGGAGGAGGCGGAGGGCUCGGCGGGGCCAUUGUGUAGCGCUUCGAUCUUAUCAUCAAUAUCCUGAGACCAUGUCUACAUUUAUUUCUAUUUUCCUCCUCUCAGAACAAUAAACAUCCUGGUAUUAUCUCUGCAGUGUGUGUGAAAAGCAACGCCGGGAAGGAAAGGUUGUUCAGUUCUUCAGAGGGAAGCUGGGGAGAGGCAGCGCUCGCUGGUGGCCAGGAAGCAAUUGGAUGUGUUUUCUCAGAAAGGGCAGAGAACACGACUCCACACGCUCCUGUUUACCAUCGCAGCCCUGGGCCCCUGAUGCCACUGCAGCGGUCCUCUAGCGCCUGCCUCGGUUCCAUGUCAUCUUCCCUGGCGUCUGGAGAUGGGCCCUUCUGGGUGCAACCUCCAGCCCAAAGCACUUCCCCGCUACGUGGCCUCAAGCGAAGCCCUCAGGUGCUUUCAGCCUUGGUUUUUGAAUCUGCAAAACGGACAUCAUAAUUUUCUUCCGAGAUGCUUGGGAGGCUCAGCAGGGAGGCAGGUAAAGGGCUUGGCCUGAUGCUGGACGGAUCUCCUAUUCAGGAAAGAACAUUCAUGGGAUGCAAUGUUGCAUGGACUUUAGCGAUUGCCCAAGCCUGUCUGCAGUCUUUGGGCUUCACGAUAAUCACUAAAUGUAAAGAGGCUGAGGAUCAGUCAGCACUGCCUUUAUGACUUGUGGCUCAGAAAGGUAAAGCAACCCGCCCACUGUCACACAGCCAGGAAGAGCCAGAACUAGAGUUCAACCCCCCAACGCUGACUCAGAAGCCCCGACCCCCACCCCCUGCCCUCACAGCCGGGCUGCCUCUGUGGUUGGGGCCGUGUUUACAUCGCAGCUAUCUGUUAUCAUGUGGCAUCAGGCCCUUUGGACCAGCUUCCUUUAGGCAGGGGGUCAAUUUUAUGCCUCUUUUAUGGGGAGGCAGUGUCAGUAGCGAGAAGCUGGAUAAGCCUGUCUGAGAUCAAGGGGUAUUUCUGGUUCCUCUGACCAGAGAGAGGGGACAGAGCUGACCCAAUGAGAGCCUUGUUCCCUGAAGCUGCUUUCCUUAAAAGCGAUCUGAUCCUGAGGUCAGGAUUGACGCAGGGCUUGCGGGGGCAGUCAGGACAGAGAGCCCAUCCUGGAGAGCUGUACACUUGGACUCUUCCCCACUUUCAGUAACCCCGUGUAUUUGGCUCUCUGCCCCAUCCUAGGAUCCCGGGAAUGAAGAUGGACGGGUCAAGAACAGGCCUCCCUGAAGCUCCCGUCAUGACUCAGUGGUUAACGAACCCAA